rnacentral:lncRNA from 1 species
GUCUUGGUGGUAAUGGUCUUCCAUUCGGCGGGGUUGGAGGACUUGGUGGAGUCACUGGCCUAGGUGGCACUGCCGGCAUUGGUGGGUUUGGUGGAGUUGGUGGUGGAAGUGGUCUUGGUGGCCUUGGUGGCUUGGGUGGUGGUGUUGGUGGUUUGGGUGGCGUUGGCGGUGGCGGUGGCGUUGGCGGCGGUGUUGGCGGUGGCGUUGGCGGAGGCGUUGGCAGUGGAACUGGCGUUCUUCCUUAUCCAUGAAAAUAUUGAUCUCAUUUCUGGUUUAUAGCCAGGGUUUAUGAAGAACUCUAUUUUUAUGCAUGGUUAUUAAGUUGGUUGUGUUUGAGGGUUUAUGUAAUGGUUUAAUUUUAAUUACUUUAUGUUUUGCUUGUUUAUUAGGGUUAGUUGGGUGUGUCUCUUUACUUUGAGUUCGAGAUUUUCAUUGUCAUGUUUAUGUUUGAGUGGAUCAUAGUUACAGAAACUUGAGUUUAAUUAAUGAGUUCAUGUUUAUUAUAUUGUGUUCGUGUUUAAUUUUUUUUGGUUCAGCUAAUUUUCAUUUUAAGAUACAUUUUGAUAUGAUUAAAAACAAC